AGAGGUGGCUAGCGUUGUUCGGAUUUACUGGGGCGUAAAGGGGUGUGUAGGUGGCUAGGUAAGUUGGAUGUGAAAGACCACAGCUCAACUGGGGGGAAUUGCAUUCAAUACUGCCAAGCUAGAGGAUUUGGGAAGAGAGCGGAAUUCUAGGUGUAGCGGUGAAAUGCGUAGAUAUCUAGAAGAACACCAGUGGCGUAGGCGGCUCUCUAUCAUUCUCCUGACACUGAGGCACGAAAGCAUGGGGAGCGAACGGGAUUAGAUACCCCGGUAGUCCAUGCUAUAAACGAUGAGAACUGGGUGUACGAGGCAUCGACCCCUCGUGUGCCGAAGCUAACGCAUUAAGUUCUCCGCCUGGGGACUACGGCCGCAAAGGCUA
rnacentral:rRNA from 1 species